rnacentral:rRNA from 1 species
CCUACGGGGGGCAGCAGUGAGGAAUAUUGGUCAAUGGGCGCGAGCCUGAACCAGCCAAGUAGCGUGAAGGAUGACUGCCCUACGGGUUGUAAACUUCUUUUAUGAAGGAAUAAAGUGAGGCACGUGUGCCUUUAUGUAUGUACUUUAUGAUUAAGGAUCGGCUAACUCCGUGCCAGCAGCCGCGGUAAUACGGAGGAUCCGAGCGUUAUCCGGAUUUAUUGGGUUUAAAGGGAGCGUAGAUGGGUUGUUAAGUCAGUUGUGAAAGUUUGCGGCUCAACCGUAAAAUUGCAAUUGAUACUGGCAGUCUUGAGUACAGUUGAGGUAGGCGGAAUUCGUGGUGUAGCGGUGAAAUGCUUAGAUAUCACGAAGAACUCCGAUUGCGAAGGCAGCUUACUAAACUGCCACUGACAUUGAUGCUCGAAAGUGUGGGUAUCAAACAGGAUUAGAUACCCGAGUAGUC